ensembl:snoRNA
AUCCUUUUGGGGUUCAUAAGCAUGAUUGGAUUUUCACACUAAUGUGUGUGAGAUAUGCGUUCCUUCUUGUUACUGUGUUGGCACAUUACCCAUAUAACU